ACGAGCCGUGUGCGGUGAAAGCCGCACGCACGGUUCUAAGGGGGGGAAAGUCCGAGAGGACCUACCUAUCCCAAU
rfam:Ascoidea rubescens DSM 1968 unplaced genomic scaffold ASCRTscaffold_43, whole genome shotgun sequence.